UUAUGAAUCUUUUUACGUAAAAAUUGGGUAUUCAAUAAUUAGUAUCUCUCAUUCUAAAAUAUAGAUUACAUCGUACAUAAUAUGUGAGAAAUUGAGCAGAGAUCGUGUUGGAUUUUGUCAUUAAUGAUUUGUUCAGCUAACAAGUGAAUGUCUAUUGAUCCCACGAUAGGAAUUGUUAGAAAUCAAAAUUGCGAUAUUAAUAAAUCAGUUAAAUGUGAUCCAAUUUCACUGUUUUAGAGAUCUGUGUUUAAAGUGAUUUUUAUGGGAUGUGGUGAUGGUUCGUGUAUGCGAUGUAACAUUCGUAUUUAAAAAAUAUCAGUUGUGGCCAUUAUGUUAUUGGUUUAACCUGGAAUAAUAUGGAUCUUCUUGGUCUAUGCACUUUUCGACUGGAGGUUUCACAACUAGAUAGAUAUGUAUGGACUUGGUACGUGAUGAUGGAUUCGGUCUUGGCUGAAUUAGAUUUAACGGCUGGUUUGGAAUUCUUCCUAAAAUAAGUUUGAAUAUAUAGGUCCCGGGUUCUCCGCGAGAGAAACGGGUCACGCUUUUAUAUGUUCCGGAGUCGAAGACUAUCGGCCAGAUUGCGCCUUCCUUUACUAUCUCGAAGGAUGCCAGUUCAGUUCCAUCCCAUAUUACCAGUUUUUCAGGAGUUCGGUCCGGUGUUUAACCGUAUCCUUCACUUUUUAGUGUUUCACUCGAUAGGGCAGUGGUUCUCGACUAGAGGAGAAUGUGUGUUUUGGGCCAAUCGGAAUCAAUAAUGAAAUAAAAUGUCCAUUACAAAUUUUAUUUUUUGCCAUAAUGUUUAACUAAAAAGCAUUAUUUACGGUAGACUUUAUUUAUUUGUAUCGAAUUUUCAUUCCACUCGAUAUAAAC
rnacentral:lncRNA from 1 species